GACGAACGCUGGCGGCGUGCUUAACACAUGCAAGUCGAACGGUGAAGGGGCCUGCUUUUGUGGGUCCUGGAUGAGUGGCGAACGGGUGAGUAACACGUGAGUAACCUGCCCCCUUCUUCUGGAUAACCGCAUGAAAGUGUGGCUAAUACGGGAUAUUCUGGGUCUGUCGCAUGGUGGGCCUGGGAAAGAUUGCGCCUUUUUUGGUGUUUUUGGUGGGGGAUGGGCUCGCGGCCUAUCAGCUUGUUGGUGGGGUGAUGGCCUACCAAGGCGGUGACGGGUAGCCGGCCUGAGAGGGUGGACGGUCACACCGGGACUGAGACACGGCCCAGACUCCUACGGGAGGCAGCAGUGGGGAAUAUUGCACAAUGGGCGCAAGCCUGAUGCAGCGACGCCACGUGAGGGAUGGAGGCCUUCGGGUUGUGAACCUCUUUCGCCAGUGAAGCAGGCCUGCCUCGUUU
rnacentral:rRNA from 1 species